CGGCUUAACUGUGAGCGUGCGGGCGAUACGGGCAGACUUGAGUACUGCAGGGGAGACUGGAGUUCCUGGUGUAGCGGUGGAAUGCGCAGAUAUCAGGAGGAACACCGGUGGCGAAGGCGGGUCUCUGGGCAGUAACUGACGCUGAGGAGCGAAAGCGUGGGGAGCGAACAGGAUUAGAUACCCUGGUAGUCCACGCCGUAAACGGUGGGUACUAGGUGUGGGUUUCCUUCCUUGGGAUCCGUGCCGUAGCUAACGCAUUAAGUACCCCGCCUGGGGAGUACGGCCGCAAGGCUAAAACUCAAAGAAAUUGACGGGGGCCCGCACAAGCGGCGGAGCAUGUGGAUUAAUUCGAUGCAACGCGAAGAACCUUACCUGGGUUUGACAUGCACAGGACGCCGGCAGAGAUGUCGGUUCCCUUGUGGCCUGUGUGCAGGUGGUGCAUGGCUGUCGUCAGCUCGUGUCGUGAGAUGUUGGGUUAAGUCCCGCAACGAGCGCAACCCUUGUCUCAUGUUGCCAGCGGGUAAUGCCGGGGACUCGUGAGAGACUGCCGGGGUCAACUCGGAGGAAGGUGGGGAUGACGUCAAGUCAUCAUGCCCCUUAUGUCCAGGGCUUCACACAUGCUACAAUGGCCGGUACAAAGGGCUGCGAUGCCGCGAGGUUAAGCGAAUCCUUUUAAAGCCGGUCUCAGUUCGGAUCGGGGUCUGCAACUCGACCCCGUGAAGUCGG
rnacentral:rRNA from 1 species